rnacentral:rRNA from 1 species
ACCUGUGGGUAGGGGUGAAAGGCUAAUCAAACCGGGAGAUAGCUCGUACUCUCCGAAAUGCAUUUAGGUGCAGCCUCGGAUUUAGUGUCAUAGAGGUAGAGCUACUGAUUGGGCUAGGGGGCUUCACCGCCUACCGAACCCUGACAAACUCCGAAUACUAUGACAUAUACCCGGGAGUGAGGGCAUGGGUGCUAAGGUCCAUGUCCGAGAGGGGAACAACCCAGACCAUCAGCUAAGGUCCCCAAAUAUUAGCUAAGUUGUUUAAACGUGGUGUGAUUGCUUUGACAGCUAGGAUGUUGGCUUGGAAGCAGCCAUUCUAUCAUGAAAGCGUAAUAGCUCACUAGUCGAGUUGUGUUGCGCUGAAAAUGUAUCGGGGCUGAACAGAAUCACCGAAGCGCCAGUUUUUAAGUAGCGAAGCGUUUUGUGCGCCAAUGAACAUACAUCGUAAGAUUUGUGGAAGGUCUCAAAAGUGACUAUGCUGACAUGAGUAACGAAAAAUCAUGUAAAGCCAUGAUCGCCGUAAGUCCAAGGGUUUCUGCUAACUGGGAAUCAGUGCAGAGUUAAGUUCGGUCCCUAAGAGUUUGUAUACACUUAUACGCUCGAUGGAGGACGUUUAUGCAAGACGGCUAUUAUACACAAAUACUGCAAAUUGGAUACGGUGUAUGUGUGUUGUAGUCCAGGAAAAAAGCAUUAAUGCAAGACCGUACCCGAAACCGACACAGGUGGACGAGUCGAGUAGACUCAGGCGUUGAGUGAACCAUAUUGAAGGAACUCGGCAAAAUAAUCCCGUAACUUAGGAAGAAGGGAUACCGAAAGGUGACACAAAAAUGGGGGUGACGACUUUUUACUAAAAAAUUAGGACUCUGCAAAAUGGUAACAUGCUGUAUAGGGUCUGACGUCUGCCCGGUGCUAGAAGUCUAAAAGGCGCAUUGCAAGAUGCAAAUGGAAAGCCUAGUAAACGGCGGUUGUAACUAUAACAAUCAUAAAGUAGCGAAAUUCAUUGCCAGCUAAUUCCUGGCCUGCAUGAAAGACGUAACGAUUGCCCCACUGUCUCCAGUAUGGACUCAGUGAAAUUGAAUUCUCCGUGCAGAUGCGGAGUACGUGCCCCAAGACGAGAAGACCCUGUGCAUCUUUACUGUACAUUUGCAUUGACAAAACGAUGAGCAUGCGUAGGAUAGGUGGGAGUACAUACAUCCUUGAAAUACCACCCUUGCCAUGGGUUUUGUCUUACACCAAAUUUGGUGCACAAUGCAUGUGAGGCAGUUUGACUGGGGCGGUCGCCUCCUAAAAGGUAACGGAGGCGUGCAAAGGUUCCCUCAGGCUGGUUGGACAUCAGUCGUAGAGUGUAAAGGCAUAAGGGAGCUUGACUGCGAGACCAACAAGUCGAGCAGAGACGAAAGUCGGCCUUAGUGAUCCGGCGCUUCCGAGUGGAAGGGGCGUCGCUCAACGGAUAAAAGUUACUCUAGGGAUAACAGGCUGAUCUCCCCCAAGAGUUCACAUCGACGGGGAGGUUUGGCACCUCGAUGUCGGCUCAUCGCAUCCUGGGGCGGUAGUACGUCCCAAGGGUUGGGCUGUUCGCCCAUGAAAGCGGUACGCGAGCUGGGUUCAGAACGUCGUGAGACAGUUCGGUCCAUAUCCGGUGUAGGCGUUAGAAUAUUGAGAGGAGCCUUCUUUAGUACGAGAGGACCGAGAAGGACAUACCUCUGGUGUACCAGUUAUCGUGCCAACGGUAAACGCUGGGUAGCUAUGUCUGGAGUAAAUAACUGCUGAAAGCAUAUAAGUAGGAAGUUCACCUUAAGAUGAGUGCUCUUUUGUCUCAACCGUUCAGUUUUACUGACAAAUGAAAGACAAGGAAGGUCACGGCAAGACGAGCCGUUUGAUAGGCAUGAAGUAGAAGUGCAGUAAUGCAUUCUGAAGCUGACAUGUGCUAAUAGACCGAGGGAUUUGAUUUU